AUACAAACACACACACACACACACACACGAAUUCUUCACUGAAAUCAUACAACUCAUCACCCAUUUAUAUUUUUCACACGGAUUACCACUGAUUCCUCCCCAAUUCACUCAUCAUUAUUUCAUUUUCCCUUAAAUCACUCCCUAACUAACUUCAUUUCCCCCUCAAACUUUGAUCACAAGGAUCAUUAAUCCUCACUCCCUCUCACUUAUAUAAAC
rnacentral:lncRNA from 1 species